rnacentral:rRNA from 1 species
AGAGUUUGAUCCUGGCUCAGGAUGAACGCUAGCUACAGGCUUAACACAUGCAAGUCGAGGGGCAGCGGUAUCGGAAGCUUGCUUUCGGUAGCCGGCGACCGGCGCACGGGUGAGUAACGCGUAUCGAACCUGCCUCAUACUCGGGAAUAGCCUUGCGAAAGUAAGAUUAAUGCCCGGUGUUUUCAGAGUCCCGCAUGAGGCUUUGAACAAAGAUUUAUCGGUAUGAGAUGGCGAUGCGUCCCAUUAGCUUGUUGGCGGGGUAACGGCCCACCAAGGCAUCGAUGGGUAGGGGUUCUGAGAGGAAGGUCCCCCACAUUGGAACUGAGACACGGUCCAAACUCCUACGGGAGGCAGCAGUGAGGAAUAUUGGUCAAUGGGCGGAAGCCUGAACCAGCCAAGUAGCGUGCAGGAAGACGGCCCUCCGGGUUGUAAACUGCUUUUAGUUGGGAAUAAAACGGGGCUCGUGAGCCCCCUUGCAUGUACCAUCAGAAAAAGGACCGGCUAAUUCCGUGCCAGCAGCCGCGGUAAUACGGAAGGUCCGGGCGUUAUCCGGAUUUAUUGGGUUUAAAGGGAGCGCAGGCGGACCUUUAAGUCAGCUGUGAAAUACGGCGGCUCAACCGUCGAACUGCAGUUGAUACUGGAGGUCUUGAGUGCACACAGGGAUGCUGGAAUUCAUGGUGUAGCGGUGAAAUGCUCAGAUAUCAUGAAGAACUCCGAUCGCGAAGGCAGGCAUCCGGGGUGCAACUGACGCUGAGGCUCGAAAGUGCGGGUAUCAAACAGGAUUAGAUACCCUGGUAGUCCGCACAGUAAACGAUGAAUACUCGCGGUUUGCGAUACAGUGUAAGCCGCCAAGCGAAAGCGUUAAGUAUUCCACCUGGGGAGUACGCCGGCAACGGUGAAACUCAAAGGAAUUGACGGGGGCCCGCACAAGCGGAGGAACAUGUGGUUUAAUUCGAUGAUACGCGAGGAACCUUACCCGGGCUUGAACUGCCAGCGACGGAUGCAGAGACGCAUUUUUCUUCGGACGCUGGCGGAGGUGCUGCAUGGUUGUCGUCAGCUCGUGCCGUGAGGUGUCGGCUUAAGUGCCAUAACGAGCGCAACCC